rnacentral:rRNA from 1 species
UACGAAGGGGGCUAGCGUUGCUCGGAAUGACUGGGCGUAAAGGGCGCGUAGGCGGAUGGCACAGUCAGAUGUGAAAUUCCUGGGCUUAACCUGGGGGCUGCAUUUGAUACGUGUGAUCUAGAGUGAGGAAGAGAGUUGUGGAAUUCCCAGUGUAGAGGUGAAAUUCGUAGAUAUUGGGAAGAACACCGGUGGCGAAGGCGGCGACCUGGUCCUUAACUGACGCUGAGGCGCGAAAGCGUGGGGAGCAAACAGG